rnacentral:rRNA from 5 species
UUCUGAAAUGUUGACCUCGGAUCAGGUAGGAA